GCAUAUGUAGUUUAUCAUUGAAUAAUCAACCUCUCAUCACUAAAUUAUCGUUUAAGUUUGUUUUUAAUUUAGUUCACAAAUGAAUCAACCAAGUUAUCAUGCCAUAUUGAUACGAAAUUAUAAAGCAAUGUCGACCAUAUUUUGUUUUUUUUUUUUUUUUUUCAUUCUUUUGAGAUCUAUUAUUCAUAUAUAUCAUAGAUGAUGAAGAAUAAAAGAAAUUAAAUGCCGCUUUGGAUGAUAAGUUGAUGUUGAUGACAAGUACUAUUGAUGAUACCCACCAUUUCUCAUCUGUUCUACUGUUGCAGGUAUGUAUAUUAUGUAACAAGUUCUCUAUCAGUUUGUUAAUAUCCAUAACCAAUACAGGUUUUCAAACACUUACACAGGUUUGUAUUUCAAUGAAAAAAUUCUAGGAAAAACAAAAGGAGGUUGAGCCCAUCUACAUAGGGAGUCGAAAGAAAAAUUAAACUCAAAACUAGAGAAUGAGAAUGCGUCUGAUGAAAAAUAGGAAAUGAACACAUAUAAGGUAAUGUCACAAGGUGGACUUAAAAAGGAUCAAGUAUGUAGGGGAAUGGUAGGAUCAACAUAUCAAAGGUAGAGAUUGACUCUUUCUCUCAUGUUAAACUUAUACUGUGAUGUUUAUUAUUAUUAAAUUUUGAAAAAAUAAUUGCUUAUCAUAACCUUAUCACAAUACUAAAUAACAGGGAGAGAGAUGAAAAAUAGAGAGGAAUCUAUUUGAUUGUAUGUUUACUUUGGAGAUUUUGGAUAAUAGUCAUGAAUUAUGGUCUUAGUGCAUCUCUAUUUUUUUUUCUUCACGUUUUUGCAUACUGUUUAUAGCUAAAUGAUUUUUAUUUGGGUCUUCCAAAUUUUUAACUAUUACUCUGAAUCUCUGAUGAAGUUUUAUUAAUUUUUUAUUCAUUGGUUUCAAGUAUGGCCGUUGACUAUGUGAAU